UAUCACUGACCCAAGACACGAAAAAUAUAGACUAAAGCAACACAUUCGGUGGAUUCGUUUUAUCAAUUUGCCAAAACGGCCAAAUGCCUUAAGUGAUCCUUACAAUCUGAAGUCAUAUUGAUAAUCAGUAAUCAUUCACGGCGGGUUAUAAGAUCAUGGGACGUGAUAAUAAGCCAGAUUAUGAAUUAAAUCCGAGGCCGAAGCCGAAGGGUAAAUGCUUCCCAGCCAACACCAAAGUUUACACCAAAGAUGGCGUAAAAUAUAUUCAAGAUGUUCAAGUCGGGGAUCUUAUACAUGACGGUGAAGGGUUCACUGAAGUCUGGGUUCAUGCUCAUUAUGAUAUUACAACAGAAGUAAUAUAUUACCAAAUACAAACAGAAAAGAACCACAUACUUAUUAGCGAGGAUCAUUUUCUCGAUGUUAAGGACCCGAAACCAGCAUCAAGCAUCUACAAAAUGGCGAAUCAAGUUACGACUGAUGAUUGCUUGAUAAACAAAGAGGGAAUGCCAGAAAAAAUAUUAAAAAUAGAAAAGAAAGAAGGGUUGGGUAUGUUUGCCCCUUUCACUUUGUCGGGAAAAAUCGUUGUUAAUGAAAUCAGAGCAUCUUGUUAUGCGGUUGUGGAGCCGAAAGUAGCCCAUGACGCCCUCGAAGGUCUGCGAGCGAUGUAUAAAGAUCCAGCUAGUAAAGAUGAAUUGGAAACCCUUCUGAGACCAAACCAGAUGGGAAUACCACAAGUAUUCCACGAAGCUUUCAAAUCUUUGCUUGACGCUGAAACUGUGUAAAAUUAUAUGAACAAUUUUCUAUAGACCAUUAAAAAAAUGUUUGGCUGAUGCCAGUCAACUUAUAACAAUAUAAACUUAUUUGUGCAUAAACAGGUGUUAGAAAGUAAAAAUACGAUCAGAUUAUAACGAAAUUUUAAUACAUAAUGCUAUGAAAACAGAAUUUGAUUUUAAAAACAGUGUUUCUAAAAUGUAAAUCGUUUUCUUUUUUUUUUUUUAAAUUUGGAUAAGUUGCUAGAAAUUGUCUAUAAUAUUACAUUGAAUAAUAUUUUUCUAAUUUCAAAAUGUCUAGAAAAUGUCAUAAAGCCCAUUGUACUUUAUAUAAUUUGUGUAAUCCACCAUCCACUGUUAAUAAACUACAGGUAUUA